rfam:Picea glauca, whole genome shotgun sequence.
ACAUGCCUACAACAUAGCGUUAAUGCAUUAGAUCCCAUUAUAACUCCACAGUUAAGUGCGCUCAAGCUAGAGUAGUACUGGGAUGGGUGAGCAUUUGCGAAGUCCUAGUGUUUUACAUGCC